rnacentral:sRNA from 1 species
CCUUGCAAAGAGUUGACUAAAAGAUGCCAUGUUUGUGAGCCCUGUCCAUACUUCGCGCAACGCUUGCCUUCGGGCUGCGGGUGGAUGAAAGCUGAGUGGAGAUGGAAAAUAUCCAGUUUACUCUUUUGAUUUAGUCAGAAAACAUGUGAGAAAGUGUGCCUCUUCGCACUCAGUGUAAUUUCAGAAAUAGAGAAAUUUCUCUGCUCCGCCCUGCUCAAUGCCGUUGAUGAUUCUAGCGGCUCCGCCGUCAGGAGAGAUAAUACCACGGAUUUAUAUAGCAGGGUUUCAAGAAAAUGGGACUUUUCAACAUGAGCUAUAUAACCCUAGGGAGCCUAAAGUCUCGUGGUGUUCCCUGCCUUUCCAUUAUAGAUCUCCAGGGUAUGGUCAUCAGUAGUUACCAUGUUGUUUUCUCAAUAAAUUUUUGUUGUGUUCUCCAUAUAUACAACUUAUUGAACUUUUGGUGAAAUUGAGAGAACGGACCCACUUGAAGGAGUUAUCCAACACAAUCUGAAUUUCCGACCUCAGUCGUACAAUAAUGAUCCUCCCCCUUCGACUUUAGAACGUGGUGGAAGUGGCUGGGGUAGAGAUGGUUGUGGUAUCGCACAAGGGGGUGGUAGAGUUGUCAACAAUAGCCAAGGAGCCACAUCCGCCUAAAGACUUGAAGGAAUGAAUUUUUUUGGAAUUGAAUUUUUUUUUCUUCCUCUCAUGAUUGAGUUGAAGACUUGUAUGCAUGUGCUGGU